AUGGCAUGAUGUGGACAUUGUCUCUUUAACUCGUUCCAUCUCAUCUAAGACUCAUAAAGAGUCUCAUCCUCUCUAGAUCAAAAAGCAGUCAUCUGAUUUCUUAACUCU